UACGUAGGGUGCAAGCGUUAUCCGGAUUCACUGGGUUUAAAGGGUGCGUAGGCGGGCAGGUAAGUCAGUGGUGAAAUCUUCAAGCUUAACUUGGAAACUGCCAUUGAUACUAUCUGUCUUGAAUGUUCUGGAGGUUAGCGGAAUAUGUCAUGUAGCGGUGAAAUGCUUAGAUAUGACAUAGAACACCUAUUGCGAAGGCAGCUAACUACGGAAAUAUUGACGCUGAGGCACGAAAGCGUGGGGAUCAAACAGG
rnacentral:rRNA from 1 species